rnacentral:rRNA from 1 species
UAGCGGCGGACGGGUGAGUAACGCGUGGGUAAUCUACCUCGUAGUUCGGGAUAACAGGCCGAAAGGCUUGCUAAUACCGGAUGAGUUCAUGCUUAUGCAUAUAGGCAUGAAGAAAGGGCUAGCCCGCUAUGAGAUGAGCCCGCGUCCCAUUAGCUUGUUGGUGGGGUAACGGCCUACCAAGGCAACGAUGGGUAGCCGGCCUGAGAGGGUGUACGGCCACACUGGGACUGAGACACGGCCCAGACUCCUACGGGGGGCAGCAGUAGGGAAUUUUCGGCAAUGGGCGAAAGCCUGACCGAGCGACGCCGCGUGAGGGACGAAGGCCUUCGGGUUGUAAACCUCUGUCUGGGGGGAUGAGAACGGACGGUACCCCCGGAGGAAGCCCCGGCUAACUACGUGCCAGCAGCCGCGGUAAUACGUAGGGGGCUAGCGUUGUCCGGAAUCACUGGGCGUAAAGGGUACGUAGGCGGAUAUAUAAGUCAAAUGUGAAAGGCACCGGCUUAACCGGUGAGCUGCAUUUGAAACUGUAUAUCUUGAGUUCAGGAGAGGAGAGCGGAAUUCCUGGUGUAGCGGUGGAAUGCGUAGAUAUCAGGAAGAACACCAGUGGCGAANGGCGGCUCUCUGGCCUGAAACUGACGCUCAGGUACGAAAGCUGGGGUAGCAAACGGGAUUAGAUACCCCGGUAGUCCCAGCCGUAAACGAUGGACACUAGGUGUUGGGGGUUCGAAUCCUUCAGUGCCGAAGUUAACGCAUUAAGUGUCCCGCCUGGGGAGUACGGUCGCAGGACUGAAACUCAAAGGAAUUGACGGGGGCCCGCACAAGCGGUGGAGCAUGUGGCUUAAUUCGAUGCAACGCGCAGAACCUUACCGAGACUUGACAUCCCGUGCCUAUCUGUGAAAGCAGAGUCUGCCUUCGGGCGCACGGAGACAGGUGGUGCAUGGUUGUCGUCAGCUCGUGUCGUGAGAUGUUGGGUUAAGUCCCGCAACGAGCGCAACCCCUGUCCUUAGUUACCAGCGAGUAAAGUCGGGGACUCUAAGGAGACAGCCGGUGAAAGCCGGAGGAAGGUGGGGAUGACGUCAAAUCAUCAUGCCCUUUAUGUCUCGGGCUACACACGUGCUACAAUGGUCAGUACAGAGGGAAGCGAAGUGGUGACAUGGAGCCAAUCUCAGAAAGCUGAUCCCAGUUCGGAUUGCAGGCUGCAACUCGCCUGCAUGAAGCCGGAAUCGCUAGUAAUCGCAGGUCAGCAUACUGCGGUGAAUACGUUCCCGGGCCUUGUACACACCGCCCGUCACACCACCCGAGUUAGAUGCACCAGAAGUCAUU